UAAUGGCCUACCAAGGCGACGACGGGUAGCCGACCUGAGAGGGUGACCGGCCACACUGGGACUGAGACACGGCCCAGACUCCUACGGGAGGCAGCAGUGGGGAAUAUUGCACAAUGGGCGGAAGCCUGAUGCAGCGACGCCGCGUGAGGGAUGAAGGCCUUCGGGUUGUAAACCUCUUUCAGCAGGGACGAAGCGUGAGUGACGGUACCUGCAGAAGAAGCACCGGCUAACUACGUGCCAGCAGCCGCGGUAAUACGUAGGGUGCGAGCGUUGUCCGGAAUUACUGGGCGUAAAGAGUUCGUAGGCGGUUUGUCGCGUCGUUUGUGAAAACCCGGGGCUCAACUUCGGGCUUGCAGGCGAUACGGGCAGACUUGAGUACUACAGGGGAGACUGGAAUUUCUGGUGUAGCGGUGGAAUGCACAGAUAUCAGGAAGAACACCGAUGGCGAAGGCAGGUCUCUGGGUAGUAACUGACGCUGAGGAGCGAAAGCAUGGGUAGCAAACAGGAUUAGAUACCCUGGUAGUCCAUGCCGUAAACGGUGGGCGCUA
rnacentral:rRNA from 1 species